GUAGUCUGCAACUCGACUACAUGAAGCUGGAAUCGCUAGUAAUCGCAGAUCAGAAUGCUGCGGUGAAUACGUUCCCGGGUCUUGUACACACCGCCCGUCACACCAUGGGAGUCGGCAACGCCCGAAGUCAGUGACCCAACCGAAAGGAGGGAGCUGCCGAAGGCGGGGCAGGUAACUGGGGUGAAGUCGUAACAAGGUACC
rnacentral:rRNA from 1 species